AUUGAACGCUGGCGGCAUGCCUUACACAUGCAAGUCGAACGGUAACGCGGGGCAACCUGGCGACGAGUGGCGAACGGGUGAGUAACGCAUCGGAACGUGCCCAAUAGUGGGGGAUAGCCCGGCGAAAGCCGGAUUAAUACCGCAUACGACCUGCGGGUGAAAGCAGGGGAUCGCAAGACCUUGCGCUAAUGGAGCGGCCGAUGUCAGAUUAGGUUGUUGGUGGGGUAAAAGCCCACCAAGCCGACGAUCUGUAGCUGGUCCGAGAGGACGACCAGCCACACUGGGACUGAGACACGGCCCAGACUCCUACGGGAGACAGCAGUGGGGAAUUUUGGACAAUGGGCGCAAGCCUGAUCCAGCCAUUCCGCGUGCAGGAAGAAGGCCUUCGGGUUGUAAACUGCUUUUGUACGGAACGAAACGCGCUAGGUUAAUACCCUGGCGUAAUGACGGUACCGUAAGAAUAAGCACCGGCUAACUACGUGCCAGCCGCCGCUGUAAUAC
rnacentral:rRNA from 1 species